rnacentral:lncRNA from 1 species
CUUUAUUUCAUGCAUUCUUUUAUACGUUUGUUAGUUCAUUCGUUCGUUGUAUCUUUCAUACCUUCAUGUCUUAAUUCCUUCAUUGAUUCAUUGAUUCAUGUAUUCUUUGAUUUGUUUACGAAUAAAAUCAUAUUUAUAUACCAUUCAUACACUCCAAAAUUACAUAUUCAUAUUUUUCUACUUAAUAUUCAUUAUUUUGAAAUUACAGUUGUUCACAGC